rnacentral:rRNA from 1 species
CUACGGGUGCUGCAGUGAGGAAUAUUGCACAAUGGGGGGAACCCUGAUGCAGCAACGCCGCGUGGAGGAUGACGCAUUUCGGUGUGUAAACUCCUUUUAUAUGUCAAGAAAAUGACGGUAGCAUAUGAAUAAGCACCGGCUAACUCCGUGCCAGCAGCCGCGGUAAUACGGAGGGUGCAAGCGUUACUCGGAAUCACUGGGCGUAAAGGACGCGUAGGCGGGUUGGAAAGUCAGGUGUGAAAUCCUACAGCUUAACUGUAGAACUGCACUUGAAACUUCUAAUCUAGAGUAUGGGAGGGGGAGAUGGAAUUAGUGGCGUAGGGGUAAAAUCCGUAGAUAUCACUAGGAAUACCUAAAGCGAAGGCGAUCUCCUGGAACAUUACUGACGCUAAGGCGUGAAAGCGUGGGGAGCAAACAGGAUUAGAUACCCUAGUAGUC